rnacentral:rRNA from 1 species
UACGUAGGGUCCGAGCGUUGUCCGGAAUUAUUGGGCGUAAAGGGCUCGUAGGCGAUUUGUCGCGUCGGGAGUGAAAACACCGGGCUUAACUCGGUGCUUGCUUUCGAUACGGGCAGACUGGAGGUAUGCAGGGGAGAACGGAAUUCCUGGUGUAGCGGUGAAAUGCGCAGAUAUCAGGAGGAACACCGGUGGCGAAGGCGGUUCUCUGGGCAUUACCUGACGCUGAGGAGCGAAAGUGUGGGGAGCGAACAGG